GAUGAACGCUAGCUGCAGGCUUAACACAUGCAAGUCGAGGGACCGGCGCACGGGUGAGUAACACGUAUCCAACCUGCCCUUUACUCGGGGAUAGCCUUUCGAAAGAAAGAUUAAUACCCGAUAUAAAGGAUGGGGAUGCGUUCCAUUAGGUGGUUGGUGAGGUAACGGCCCACCAAGCCUUCGAUGGAUAGGGGUUCUGAGAGGAAGGUCCCCCGCAAUGGAACUGAGACACGGUCCACACGCCUACGGGAGGCAGGAGUGAGGAAUAUUGGGCAAUGGGCGUUAGCCGGAACCAGCCAAGUAGCGUGAAGGAUGAAGGCUUAUGGGUAGUAAACUUCUUGUAUAGAAGAAUAUGUAUUAUAUGAAUAAGGAUCGGCUAACUACGUGCCAGCAGCCGCGGUAAUAC
rnacentral:rRNA from 1 species